rnacentral:misc_RNA from 1 species
AUGACUGCUAUGCAAGAUCUGCAGUUAGGGAAGGACUGCAUAAGCAUAUUCUCUACACAUCUCAAAAGCUUGACAAGGAUAUUGGCUUUGCAGUCAAAUGUUGUGAGAAUUAUUCUUCAGAAUCAACUUUUGGAUGGGAAUCUGAGAUAUCUUUUCCCAAGGUUCUUGGAGAUGUGAUGGAGUCUCUGGCAGGAGCUAUUUUUGUUGAUUCUGGAUACAACAAAGAUGUGGUCUUUAGGAGCAUAAGGCCACUUUUGGAGCCUUUGGUUACUUUGGAGACACUUAGAUUAAAUCCUACGAAAGAGCUUAAUGAAUUAUGUCAAAUAAAACAUUUUAAAAAGAAAAACCCCUUUGUUCCUCUCAACAAUGGCAUGUCUUCUGUCACUGUUGAGGUUAAAGCUAAUGGGGUAAAAUUUAAGCACACAUCUACAGCUGCAAACAAGAAGACAGCUGAAAAAUUAGCUUCUAAAGAGGUUUUGAGGGUCUUGAAGGAAAAAUUUAACAUCUAGAGAAGAUCAGAUUGGUGUGCAAUUAAAAGCUAGGAUCAACUUUCUGAUGCUAGCAGAGUCGCUUAUCAGCUUAAGCAGCAGCCAUUGGUGUUGCUGUCAAGACUGGGGCUAUAAGAGUUAAAAUUCUGCCAUAAUGUACUGUAUUAGAUGCUGCAUCUUGGUUCCUUAAAAAAUUCAAAAUGUAAUGUGACCUUUUCUUUUUCUUAUUUACCAUUAAUGGUAUUAAUGUUAAUAUGAAUCCAUUUAUCCCCUUUUUUUU